rnacentral:rRNA from 1 species
UACGGAGGGUGCGAGCGUUGUCCGGAAUCAUUGGGCGUAAAGGGCGCGUAGGUGGCCCGGUCAGUCUUUGGUGAAAGCGCGGGGCUCAACCCUGCGUCGGCCAGGGAUACUGCCGCGGCUCGAGCACUGUAGAGGCAGGCGGAAUUCCUGGUGUAGCGGUGGAAUGCGCAGAUAUCAGGAGGAACACCGGUGGCGAAGGCGGGUCUCUGGGCCGUAACUGACGCUGAGGAGCGAAAGCAUGGGGAGCGAACAGG